GGAUGUGAGAGCAAUCUGGCUGUGACAUCUGUCACCCCAUUGAUCGCCAGGGUUGAUUCGGCUGAUCUGGCUGGCUAGGCGGGUGUCCCCUUCCUCCCUCACUGCUCCAUGUGUGUCCCUCCCAAAGCUGUACGCUUGGUCAAAGAGGAUGACCUUCCCCGCUAGAGGAGGACAGUUCUUUGGUCAAGGGUAUGCGAGUAGCUGCGCUCCCUUGCUAGAACCUCCAAACAAGCUCUCAAGAAAAGAAUGAAAAGGGCAGACUAUGCAAUGAUUUCUCAAUUUGAAACUAUUG
rnacentral:snRNA from 1 species